GAUGAACGCUGGCGGCGUGCCUAAUACAUGCAAGUCGAGCGACCGGACGAUAAGAUUGCUUUUCUGAUGUUAGCGGCGGACGGGUGAGUAACACGUGGAUAACCUACCUAUAAUACUGGGAUGACUUCGGGAAACCGCAGCUACUACCAGAUCAUAUUUUGAACCGCUUGGUUCAGAAGUGAAAGACGGUUUUCCUGUCACUUAUAGAUGGAUCCGCGCUGCAUUAGCUAGUUGGUAAGGUAACGGCUUACCAAGGCAACGAUGCAUAGCUGACCUGAGAGGGUGAUCAGCCACACUGGAACUGAGACACGGUCCAGACUCCUACGGGAGGCAGCAGUAGGGAAUAUUGCGCAAUGGGCGAAAGCCUGACGGAGCAACGCCGCGUGAGUGAUGAAGGUCUUCGGAUCGUAAAACUCUGUUAUUAGGGAAGAAAAGAUGUGUAAGUAACUGUGCACAUCUUGACGGUACCUAAUCAGAAAGCAACGGCUAACUACGUG
rnacentral:rRNA from 1 species